rnacentral:rRNA from 1 species
UACAGAGGUCCCAAGCGUUGUUCGGAUUCACUGGGCGUAAAGGGUGCGUAGGCGGUCGGGUAAGUCUGAUGUGAAAUCUCACAGCUUAACUGUGAAACUGCAUUGGAUACUAUCCGGCUCGAGGAAUGGAGGGGAGACUGGAAUACUUGGUGUAGCAGUGAAAUGCGUAGAUAUCAAGUGGAACACCAGUGGCGAAGGCGGGUCUCUGGGCCGUUACUGACGCUGAGGAGCGAAAGCGUGGGGAGCGAACAGG